rnacentral:lncRNA from 1 species
GAAAAAAAAGGAAAAUAUGACAAUUUUUACGUAGUACGUAUUUCUUUAGCCUUUGUAUUUUGUUUAUACAAUUAUAAAGUGAUUAUGAACCAGAGAUUUCUAUUAAAUAAUGUAAGCUAAAUAUUUUUGUUAAGUACGUCCUCAAUUAUAUACGUCAAUCAAACAUGUAAUGUGUAACAAACUUUGACAUUAAAUAGUUUAGAAAGAUAUGUAUUGAACAUCAAAAUUAAUUUAAUUUUCACUUAUAUCCUAAAGAACAUCAAAUGUCAUCUUCUAUAUUCUUAUAAUUAAACAAUUAACAUAAGUUAUACAUAUUAAAAAUAUGCUAAAAUACUAAAUAUAAGUAGAAAAUUAAAGGGAGAAAAAGAAAAUAGAAUAAUUACAAGAAAAUGAAAAAUGAAAAAGAAAAUAUAAUAAUUACAAGAAAAUGAAAAUGAGACCGUAUGGUAUAAAGGAAACCAACUCAAUCAUUUUUCCAGUGUUACAUUAGCAUCACCUUUAUUAUUGUGAGAUCCUCAUAAUCCUAACAAACAUCUCAAUCUCAUCAAAACAAUACGAAAAACCCUAUCAUAAUAAUUGGUGACGCAAGAAUAAAAUUGAAAAUAAGAGGAAACACAAAUGAAUAGGGUGACAAAAUAAAACAGCUAGAGAUGUGUAACCUUCAAAACAUCAACCUAUAUCAGAAAUCACUUGAUCUGUACAUUUGAUAGAUAAGAAAGAAAAUUACUCAUAAAAGAUAGGAAAAUACGGAAAAUAUGACAAUUUUAUAGCAGUACGUAUUUUUUUACCAUUUGUAUUUUGUUUAUACAAUUAUAAAGUGAUUAUGAACCAGAUAUUUCUAUUAAAUAAUGUAAGCUAAAUAUUUUUGUUAAGUACAUCCUCAAUUAUAUACGUCAAUCAAACAUGUAAUGUGUAACAAACUUUGACAUUAAAUAGUUUAGAAAGAUAUGUAUUGAACAUCAAAAUUAAUUUAAUUUUCACUUAUAUCCUAAAGAACAUAAAAUGUCAUCUUCUAUAUUCUUAUAAUUAAACAAUUAACAUAAGUUAUACAUAUUAAAAAUAUGCUAAAAUACUAAAUAUAAGUAGAAAAUUAAAGAGAGAAAAAGAAAAUAGAAUAAUUACAAGAAAAUGAAAAACGAAAAAGAAAAUAUAAUAAUUACAAGAAAAUGAAAAUGAGACCGUAUGGUAUAAAGGAAACCAACCCAAUCAUUUUUCCAGUGUUACAUUAGCAUCACCUUUAUUAUUGUGAGAUCCUCAUAAUCCUAACAAACAUCUCAAUCUCAUCAAAACAAUACAAAAAACCCGAUCAUAAUCAUUGGUGAGGCAAGAAUAAAAUUGAAAAUAAGAGGAAACACAGAUGAAUAGAGUGACAAAAUAAACAAGUUAGAGAUGUGUAACCUUCAAAAGAUCAACCUAUAUCAGAAAUCACUUGAUCUGUACAUUUGAUAGAUAAGAAAGAAAAUGACUCAUAAAAGAAAGAAAAAAAAGGAAAAUAUGACAAUUUAUCAAGUGUACGUAUUUUUUUACCCUUUGUAUUUUGUUUAUACAAUCAUAAAGUGAUCAUGAACAAGAGAUUUCUAUUAAAUAGUGUAAGCUAAAUAUUUCUAUUAAGUACAUCCUCACUUAUAUAAAUCAAUCGAACAUGUAAUGAUUAACAAACCUUGACAUUAAAUAGUUUAGAAAGAUAUGUAUUGAACAUCAAAAUUAAUUAAAUAUAUACUUAUAUCCUAAAGAACAUACAAUGUCAUCUUCUAUAUUCUGAUAAUUAAACAAUUAACAUAAGUUAUACAGAUUAAAAAAUAUGCUAAAAUACUAAUUAUAAGUAGAAAAUGAAAAAGAAAAAAAGAAAACAGAAUAAUUAUAAGAAAAUGAAAAUGAGAUCGUGUGGUAUAAAGGAAACCAACUCAAUCAUUUUUCCAGUGUUACAUUAGCAUCACCUUUAUUAUUGUGAGAUCCUCAUAAUCCUAACAAACAUCUCAAUCUCAUCAAAACAAUACAAAAAACCCGAUCAUAAUCAUUGGUGAGGCAAGAAUAAAAUUGAAAAUAAGAGGAAACACAGAUGAAUAGAGUGACAAAAUAAACAAGUUAGAGAUGUGUAACCUUCAAAAGAUCAACCUAUAUCAGAAAUCACUUGAUCUGUACAUUUGAUAGAUAAGAAAGAAAAUGACUCAUAAAAGAAAGAAAAAAAAGGAAAAUAUGACAAUUUAUCAAGUGUACGUAUUUUUUUACCCUUUGUAUUUUGUUUAUACAAUCAUAAAGUGAUCAUGAACAAGAGAUUUCUAUUAAAUAGUGUAAGCUAAAUAUUUCUAUUAAGUACAUCCUCACUUAUAUAAAUCAAUCGAACAUGUAAUGAUUAACAAACCUUGACAUUAAAUAGUUUAGAAAGAUAUGUAUUGAACAUCAAAAUUAAUUAAAUAUAUACUUAUAUCCUAAAGAACAUACAAUGUCAUCUUCUAUAUUCUGAUAAUUAAACAAUUAACAUAAGUUAUACAGAUUAAAAAAUAUGCUAAAAUACUAAUUAUAAGUAGAAAAUGAAAAAGAAAAAAAGAAAACAGAAUAAUUAUAAGAAAAUGAAAAUGAGAUCGUGUGGUAUAAAGGAAACCAACUCAAUCAUUUUUCCAGUGUUACAUUAGCAUCACCUUUAUUAUUGUGAGAUCCUCAUAAUCCUAACAAACAUCUCAAUCUCAUCAAAACAAUACAAAAAACCCGAUCAUAAUCAUUGGUGAGGCAAGAAUAAAAUUGAAAAUAAGAGGAAACACAGAUGAAUAGAGUGACAAAAUAAACAAGUUAGAGAUGUGUAACCUUCAAAAGAUCAACCUAUAUCAGAAAUCACUUGAUCUGUACAUUUGAUAGAUAAGAAAGAAAAUGACUCAUAAAAGAAAGAAAAAAAAGGAAAAUAUGACAAUUUAUCAAGUGUACGUAUUUUUUUACCCUUUGUAUUUUGUUUAUACAAUCAUAAAGUGAUCAUGAACAAGAGAUUUCUAUUAAAUAGUGUAAGCUAAAUAUUUCUAUUAAGUACAUCCUCACUUAUAUAAAUCAAUCGAACAUGUAAUGAUUAACAAACCUUGACAUUAAAUAGUUUAGAAAGAUAUGUAUUGAACAUCAAAAUUAAUUAAAUAUAUACUUAUAUCCUAAAGAACAUACAAUGUCAUCUUCUAUAUUCUGAUAAUUAAACAAUUAACAUAAGUUAUACAGAUUAAAAAAUAUGCUAAAAUACUAAUUAUAAGUAGAAAAUGAAAAAGAAAAAAAGAAAACAGAAUAAUUAUAAGAAAAUGAAAAUGAGAUCGUGUGGUAUAAAGGAAACCAACUCAAUCAUUUUUCCAGUGUUACAUUAGCAUCACCUUUAUUAUUGUGAGAUCCUCAUAAUCCUAACAAUCAUCUCAAUCUCAUCAAAACAAUAUGAAAAACCCUAUCAUAAUAAUUGGUGACGCAAGAAUAAAAUUGAAAAUAAGAGGAAACACGGAUGAAUAGAGUGACAAAAUAAACAAGUUAGAGAUACGUAACCUUCAAAAGAUCAACCUAUAUCCGAAACCACUUGAUUUGUACAUUUUAUAGAUAAGAAAGAAAAUUACUCAUAAAAGAUAGGAAAAUACGGAAAAUAUGACAAUUUUAUAGGAGUACGUAUUUCUUUAGCCUUUGUAUUUUGUUUAUACAAUUAUAAAGUGAUUAUGAACCAGAUAUUUCUAUUAAAUAAUGUAAGCUAAAUAUUUUUGUUAAGUACAUCCUCAAUUAUAUACGUCAAUCAAACAUGUAAUGUGUAACAAACUUUGACAUUAAAUAGUUUAGAAAGACAUGUAUUGAACAUCAAAAUUAAUUUAAUUUUCACUUAUAUCCUAAAGAACACAAAAUGUCAUCUUCUAUAUUCUUAUAAUUAAACAAUUAACAUAAGUUAUACAUAUUAAAAAUAUGCUAAAAUACUAAAUAUAAGUAGAAAAUUAAAGAGAGAAAACGAAAAUAGAAUAAUUACAAGAAAAUGAAAAACGAAAAAGAAAAUAUAAUAAUUACAAGAAAAUGAAAAUGAGACCGUAUGGUAUAAAGGAAACCAACCCAAUCAUUUUUCCAGUGUUACAUUAGCAUCACCUUUAUUAUUGUGAGAUCCUCAUAAUCCUAACAAACAUCUCAAUCUCAUCAAAACAAUACGAAAAACCCUAUCAUAAUCAUUGGUGAUGCAAGAAUAAAAUUGAAAAUAAGAGGAAACACAGAUGAAUAGAGUGACAAAAUAAACAAGUUAGAGAUGUGUAACCUUCAAAAGAUCAACCUAUAUCAGAAAUCACUUGAUCUGUACAUUUGAUAGAUAAGAAAGAAAAUUACUCAUAAAAGAUAGAAAAAAAAGGAAAAUAUGACAAUUUUUCAGCAGUACGUAUUUUUUUACCAUUUGUAUUUUGUUUAUACAAUCAUAAAGUGAUUAUGAACCAGAGAUUUCUAUUAAAUAAUGUAAGCUAAAUAUUUAUAUUAAGUACAUCCUCAAUUAUAUAAAUCAAUCAAACAUGUAAUGAGUAACAAACCUUGACAUUAAUUAGUUUAGAAAGAUAUGUAUUGAACAUCAAAAUUAAUUAAAUAUAUACUUAUAUCCUAAAGAACAUAAAAUGUCAUCUUCUAUAUUCUGAUAAUUAAACAAUUAACAUAAGUUAUAUAGAUUAAAAAAUAUGCUAAAAUACUAAUUAUAAGUAGAAAAUGAAAAAGAAAAAAAGAAAAAAGAAUAAUUACAAGAAAAUGAAAAAGAAAAAAAGAAAAUAGAAUAAUUACAAGAAAAUGAAAAUGAGACCGUAUGUUAUAAAGGAAACCAACUCAAUCAUUUUUCCAGUGUUACAUUAGCACCACCUUUAUUAUUGUGAGAUCCUCAUAAUCCUAACAAACAUCUCAAUCUCAUCAAAACAAUACGAAAAACCCUAUCAUAAUCAUUGGUGAUGCAAGAAUAAAAUUGAAAAUAAGAGGAAACACAGAUGAAUAGAGUGACAAAAUAAACAAGUUAGAGAUGUGUAACCUUCAAAAGAUCAACCUAUAUCAGAAAUCACUUGAUCUGUACAUUUGAUAGAUAAGAAAGAAAAUUACUCAUAAAAGAUAGAAAAAAAAGGAAAAUAUGACAAUUUUUCAGCAGUACGUAUUUUUUUACCCUUUGUAUUUUGUUUAUACAAUCAUAAAGUGAUUAUGAACCAGAGAUUUCUAUUAAAUAAUGUAAGCUAAAUAUUUAUAUUAAGUACAUCCUCAAUUAUAUAAAUCAAUCAAACAUGUAAUGAGUAACAAACCUUGACAUUAAUUAGUUUAGAAAGAUAUGUAUUGAACAUCAAAAUUAAUUAAAUAUAUACUUAUAUCCUAAAGAACAUAAAAUGUCAUCUUCUAUAUUCUGAUAAUUAAACAAUUAACAUAAGUUAUAUAGAUUAAAAAAUAUGCUAAAAUACUAAUUAUAAGUAGAAAAUGAAAAAGAAAAAAAGAAAAAAGAAUAAUUACAAGAAAAUGAAAAAGAAAAAAAGAAAAUAGAAUAAUUACAAGAAAAUGAAAAUGAGACCGUAUGUUAUAAAGGAAACCAACUCAAUCAUUUUUCCAGUGUUACAUUAGCACCACCUUUAUUAUUGUGAGAUCCUCAUAAUCCUAACAAACAUCUCAAUCUCAUCAAAACAAUACGAAAAACCCUAUCAUAAUCAUUGGUGACGCAAGAAUAAAAUUGAAAAUAAGAGGAAACACAGAUGAAUAGAGCGACAAAAUAAACAUGUUAGAGAUGUGUAACCUUCAAAAUAUCAGCCUAUAUCAGAAAUCACUUGAUUUAUACAUUUGAUAGAUAAUAAAGAAAAUUACUCAUAAAAGAUAGAAAAAAAAGGAAAAUAUGACAAUUUUUACGUAGUACGUAUUUCUUUAGCCUUUGUAUUUUGUUUAUACAAUUAUAAAGUGAUUAUGAACCAGAGAUUUCUAUUAAAUAAUGUAAGCUAAAUAUUUCAAUUAAGUACAUCCUCAAUUAUUUAAAUCAAUCAAACAUGUAAUGAUUAACAAACCUUGACAAAAAUCGUUUAGAAAGAUAUGUAUUGAACAUCAAAAUAAAUUAAAUAUAUACUUAUAUCCUAAAGAACACAAAAUGUCAUCUUCUAUAUUCUUAUAAUUAAACAAUUAACAUAAGUUAUACAUAUUAAAAAUAUGCUAAAAUACUAAAUAUAAGUAUAAAAUUAAAGAGAGAAAAAGAAAAUAGAAUAAUUACAUGAAAAUGAAAAACGAAAAAGAAAAUAUAAUAAUUACAAGAAAAUGAAAAUGAGACCGUAUGGUAUAAAGGAAACCAACUCAAUCAUUUUUCCAGUGUUACAUUAGCAUCACCUUUAUUAUUGUGAGAUCCUCAUAAUCCUAACAAACAUCUCAAUCUCAUCAAAACAAUACGAAAAACCCUAUCAUAAUCAUUGGUGAUGCAAGAAUAAAAUUGAAAAUAAGAGGAAACACAGAUGAAUAGAGUGACAAAAUAAACAAGUUAGAGAUGUGUAACCUUCAAAAGAUCAACCUAUAUCAGAAAUCACUUGAUCUGUACAUUUGAUAGAUAAGAAAGAAAAUUACUCAUAAAAGAUAGAAAAAAAAGGAAAAUAUGACAAUUUUUCAGCAGUACGUAUUUUUUUACCCUUUGUAUUUUGUUUAUACAAUCAUAAAGUGAUUAUGAACCAGAGAUUUCUAUUAAAUAAUGCAAGCUAAAUAUUUAUAUUAAGUACAUCCUCAAUUAUAUAAAUCAAUCAAACAUGUAAUGAGUAACAAACCUUGACAUUAAUUAGUUUAGAAAGAUAUGUAUUGAACAUCAAAAUUAAUUAAAUAUAUACUUAUAUCCUAAAGAACAUAAAAUGUCAUCUUCUAUAUUCUGAUAAUUAAACAAUUAACAUAAGUUAUAUAGAUUAAAAAAUAUGCUAAAAUACUAAUUAUAAGUAGAAAAUGAAAAAGAAAAAAAGAAAAAAGAAUAAUUACAAGAAAAUGAAAAAGAAAAAAAGAAAAUAGAAUAAUUACAAGACAAUGAAAAUGAGACCGUAUGUAUUAAAGGAAACCAACCCAAUCAUUUUUCUAGUGUUACAUUAGCACCAACUUUAUUAUUGUGAGAUCCUCAUAAUCCUAACAAACAUCUCAAUCUCAUCAAAACAAUACGAAAAACCCUAUCAUAAUCAUUGGUGAUGCAAGAAUAAAAUUGAAAAUAAGAGGAAACACAGAUGAAUAGAGUGACAAAAUAAACAAGUUAGAGAUGUGUAACCUUCAAAAGAUCAACCUAUAUCAGAAAUCACUUGAUCUGUACAUUUGAUAGAUAAGAAAGAAAAUUACUCAUAAAAGAUAGAAAAAAAAGGAAAAUAUGACAAUUUUUCAGCAGUACGUAUUUUUUUAACCUUUGUAUUUUGUUUAUACAAUCAAAAAGUGAUUAUGAACCAGAAAUUUCUAUUAAAUAUUGUAAGCUAAAUAUUUAUAUUAAGUACAUCCUCAAUUAUAUAAAUCAAUCAAACAUGUAAUGAGUAACAAACCUUGACAUUAAUUAGUUUAGAAAGAUAUGUAUUGAACAUCAAAAUUAAUUAAAUAUAUACUUAUAUCCUAAAGAACAUAAAAUGUCAUCUUCUAUAUUCUGAUAAUUAAACGAUUAACAUAAGUUAUAUAGAUUAAAAAAUAUGCUAAAAUACUAAUUAUAAGUAGAAAAUGAAAAAGAAAAAAAGAAAAAAGAAUAAUUACAAGAAAAUGAAAAAGAAAAAAAGAAAAUAGAAUAAUUACAAGACAAUGAAAAUGAGACCGUAUGUAUUAAAGGAAACCAACCCAAUCAUUUUUCUAGUGUUACAUUAGCACCAACUUUAUUAUUGUGAGAUCCUCAUAAUCCUAACAAACAUCUCAAUCUCAUCAAAACAAUACGAAAAACCCUAUCAUAAUCAUUGGUGAUGCAAGAAUAAAAUUGAAAAUAAGAGGAAACACAGAUGAAUAGAGUGACAAAAUAAACAAGUUAGAGAUGUGUAACCUUCAAAAGAUCAACCUAUAUCAGAAAUCACUUGAUUCGUACAUUUGAUAGAUAAGAAAGAAAAUUACUCAUAAAAGAUAGAAAAAAAAGGAAAAUAUGACAAUUUUUCAGCAGUACGUAUUUUUUUAACCUUUGUAUUUUGUUUAUACAAUCAAAAAGUGAUUAUGAACCAGAAAUUUCUAUUAAAUAUUGUAAGCUAAAUAUUUAUAUUAAGUACAUCCUCAAUUAUAUAAAUCAAUCAAACAUGUAAUGAGUAACAAACCUUGACAUUAAUUAGUUUAGAAAGAUAUGUAUUGAACAUCAAAAUUAAUUAAAUAUAUACUUAUAUCCUAAAGAACAUAAAAUGUCAUCUUCUAUAUUCUUAUAAUUAAACAAUUAACAUAAGUUAUACAUAUUAAAAAUAUGCUAAAAUACUAAAUAUAAGUAGAAAAUGAACGAGAGAAAAAGAAAAUAGAAUAAUUACAAGAAAAUGAAAAACAAAAAAGAAAAUAUAAUAAUUACAAGAAAAUGAAAAUGAGACCGUAUGGUAUAAAGGAAACCAACUCAAUCAUUUUUCCAGUGUUACAUUAGCAUCACCUUUAUUAUUGUGAGAUCCUCAUAAUCCUUACAAACAUCUCAAUAUCAUAAAAACGAUAUGAAAAACCCUAUCAUAAUCAUUGGUGAUGGAAGAAUAAAAUUGAAAAUAAGAGGAAACACAGAUGAAUAGAGAGACAAAAUAAACAACUUAGAGAUGUGUAACCUUCAAAAGAUUAACCUAUAUCAGAAAUCAAUUGAUCCGUACAUUUGAUAGAUAAGAAAGAAAAUUACUCAUAAAAGAUAGAAAAAAAAGGAAAAUAUGACAAUUUUUCAGCAGUACGUCUUUUUUUAACCUUUGUAUUUUGUUUAUACAAUCAAAAAGUGAUUAUGAACCAGAAAUUUCUAUUAAAUAUUGUAAGCUAAAUAUUUAUAUUAAGUAAAUCCUCAAUUAUAUAAAUCAAUCACACAUGUAAUGAGUAACAAACCUUGACAUUAAUUAGUUUAGAAAGAUAUGUAUUGAACAUCAAAAUUAAUUAAAUAUAUACUUAUAUCCUAAAGAACAUAAAAUGUCAUCUUUUAUAUUCUGAUAAUUAAAUAAUUAACAUAAGUUAUAUAGAUUAAAAAAUAUGCUAAAAUAUUAAUGAUAAGUAGAAAAUGAAAAAGAAUAAUUACAAGAAAAUGAAAAAGAAAAAAAGAAAAUAGAAUAAUUACAAGAAAAUGAAAAUGAGACAGUACGUAUUAAAGGAAACCAACUCAAUCAUUUUUCCAGUGUUACAUUAGCACCACCUUUAUUAUUGUGAGAUCCUCAUAAUCCUAACAAACAUCUCAAUCUCUUCAAAACAAUACAAAAAACCCUAUCAUAAUCAUUGGUGACGUAGGAAAAAAUUGAAAAUAAGAGGAAACACAGAUGAAUAGAGCGACAAAAUAAACAUGUUAGAGAUGUGUAAGCUUCAAAAUAUCA